GACGAACGCUGGCGGCGUGCUUAGCACAUGCAAGUCGAACGGAAAGGCCCUGCUUUUGUGGGGUGCUCGAGUGGCGAACGGGUGAGUAACACGUGAGUAACCUGCCCUUGACUUUGGGAUAACUUCAGGAAACUGGGGCUAAUACCGGAUAGGAGCUCCUGCUGCAUGGUGGGGGUUGGAAAGUUUCGGCGGUUGGGGAUGGACUCGCGGCUUAUCAGCUUGUUGGUGGGGUAGUGGCUUACCAAGGCUUUGACGGGUAGCCGGCCUGAGAGGGUGACCGGCCACAUUGGGACUGAGAUACGGCCCAGACUCCUACGGGAGGCAGCAGUGGGGAAUAUUGCACAAUGGGCGGAAGCCUGAUGCAGCAACGCCGCGUGCGGGGUGACGGCCUUCGGGUUGUAAACCGCUUUCGCCUGUGACGAAGCGUGAGUGACGGUAAUGGGUAAAGAAGCACCGGCUAACUACGUG
rnacentral:rRNA from 1 species